CUUUCAGGCGCGGGCUCAGAAGCGGGUACCUGGUCCCUGGCAGCAGCCCAAGACUCUGGUGUUCUCUUCUCCCUCCAAGAAGGAUUUGUUCAGAACCUGACAAUUUGAAUGUUUAGCUUCUGGAGCGUGGGUUUUGUUUUGAAAAGUUACCCUUCCAACUCUCUCCCUGAUUACAAACUGUAAAAUAUAACUGCAAAGUUCUGCAGCUCUGGGAUACCUGACCUCAAGUAUAAGCAAGCAAGGUACAAAAGGAGGAGUUGGGGAAGGAAGACCCUCGGAAAGCUCAGGCUUCCAGGAACUUAGUCCAGGGCAGCAGCCACCCCAAUCACCAGGCUGAGACGAAAGCUGGAUGCAAACUGCACGAGGCUUUAUUUUUGUUUAACGAGCUAACCCCAUGUUAGCUCGGGUCUUUCAUCCACCCGCCAUGGCGGAUGACUAGCAAAAACAGUUCAAAGCAGCUGCAUAGAGACCUAUAGGGCAGCGUAAGGGGAGUGUCUAGGGGUCCGCACAGGCUCAGGAUUGGUGUGCCUCCAGGCUUGGAGGGCUUGCCCUGUGUUGAUUGGUCAACUGGUUGUUAUGGCCCAAAGGCCCUCCCAGGGUGAUUGCUAUGCUCUGUGCAUCAUUGCUGUGUGCUUGUCAGUAAAGCACACCCAGAGCUAUAAAGCAUACCACCACCAGCUAAUCUCUGAUUGGUUCCUUGCCACAAAGCAGGCACCUAACCUCUAGUGACCAAGGCAAGGUCAGAAAAGCAUGUGUCCAGCUGUUAUGGCUGCCGAAAUGGGGAGCUGGUCCCUUCAGAAACAAGAGACUGGAAGAGGGAAAAAGAAAAAGGAAAACAAAUGUAAAAAUCCGAGGAUUACCAAUCCCAAGUCACACCGACUAGUAGGUAAGAUUAAGAAGCUAGGCUGGUGUUUCCUGUCGACAUUAGAACAGUGCUGCUUGUGUGGGGUGUGUUUGUGUUAGAUUUUUUUAAAAAGUGAAACUUGAGUUGAAUCUUCGAUAAACAGAAAAUGUACUAAACCCAAAAAGUAGAAUGAAGGAAUUCCUACCAGAGAAAACUGUAUGGUCGCAAAGAAAACAAUUUGGAGGAAAUGUGCCAGAUACAAACAAAAUGAGAAAUUUAAAGAUGUCAAUUUACUUGUGAGGAAGAAAAGGACAGGAAGGUUGCUGCUUGUUUCGGGAUAUUUUCUAUUUGGCCUUCCAAUAGUUCCUCCCAACUUUUCUAGCCCCACAACUUCUGACCAGUACAACACUUUCUAGCUCAUAGCCCU
rnacentral:lncRNA from 1 species